GCUUCAAGCGGACCGGUACGUCGACCGGCUCUCUCUUCAGCCGCGACAAUGCCGACGCGACGGAGACGGCGAAGAAGACGCGAGGAUACGAGUACAGAUACAGAGAGGGACAUGAGUACACUCAGCCGAAGACCCUGUACAACUACGACAUCGAGCAACCAGUCUGGGGAUUCGCUGACGUCAAUAACGUCUACACCGGA